rnacentral:lncRNA from 1 species
AUGAUGAACAAUGUGAUGAAUAAACGAUUAGACGAAAUUGACUAUGCUACAUUUAGUAGGACAAUAAAAAAGGAAUUACAGAUUCUUACAGACGAAUACAAGAAAAAAAUAAAAAAAACAUUUGUCUUUUCUUAUUUGUGUAAACUAGAUAUAUUUAUAAUGGUCAUUUACCUUGUUCUACUUUUAUUAGAAGUGUUGUUAUUAAAAAAUAACAACAUCAUAAGCACCUACUAUUUAACAACCCUAUUUGUAAUAAUAGUAUUGCUGUUGUUGUUGUACAAAUUUAUUUAUUACGAAAUUUAUACAACUAAAGUAAUUAUUAUACACAAAAAUGAUCUUAAAAUUGUAUUGUUAAAAAUGCAUACCUAUAUGUGAACACAUGAAUUGUAGCACAUGCACAUAUGUAUACUCAUUUACAAAUAAUAAUUUAUAAUUUAUAAUUUGUAUUGUUUCUUCUUUUUUUUUGCUUACUAUUCUUUAUAUGCAGAACUAUGAAUUUAUAAACAAAAUAGAAAAGGCUAAAAAUAUUUUAUCUAUAAAAAGUUAUGUGAAGAAUAAAAAAGAAGAAAGUAAUUUUACUUACUUAAGU